UUCAUGUCAACAAACUGUAAAAACAUUUUAUUUUAAAAUAUUAUUUUCCAUUAAAUUAGUCUGAACUGUAUGGUUCUACAUUAAUGCUUUGUGAUUUGGGCUACAAAAGCAAACCAGUAUAGCAUAUGCUCAUGUUUUUCUUGAUAUUCACUUUCCAACAUAUUGGGGGAUUACUUGACGUUUCUUAAUAAGCGCGUAAAAUGCCACCAAUAUAAACAAUGACUAGAUUCCAAUAAGAUACAGUGAUACAAACAGGGUAAUUCACGAAAGAGAGAAUUGUUGGGAAUUCAAUGUACAUUUCAAAUCUAAGGCCAAAAUAGCU